ACAACGUGGUGGAGGCAUUUACAAAUAAGAUCUCUUAACCUUUCCCAUGUCUCAUGAAAAAGUUCACCAUCCAGUUAGGAAAAACUAGUGAUGGCUUUUCUAAUUUG